rnacentral:rRNA from 1 species
UACAGAGGGUGCGAGCGUUGUCCGGAAUCACUGGGCGUAAAGGGUGCGUAGGCGGCGCGGUAAGUCGGGUGUGAAAUCUCGGAGCUUAACUCCGAAACUGCAUUCGAUACUGCCGUGCUUGAGGACUGGAGAGGAGACUGGAAUUUACGGUGUAGCGGUGAAAUGCGUAGAUAUCGUAAGGAAGACCAGUGGCGAAGGCGGGUCUCUGGACAGUUCCUGACGCUGAGGCAACG